AUACCUUUCUCGGCCUCUUGGCUAAGAUCAAGUGUAGUAUCUGUUCUUAUCAGUUUAAUAAUAUCUGAUACGUGGAUCAACGGAUCCAUGAGAUAUUAAUUUAUUUAUAUUUUGUGGGGGAGAAACCGUCUAUGUAGCUCGCUGCAUGGACGGGUCUUGUGCGUCGUUAAAGUGUUGCACUUCUGCUUAGAACAGGCGCACCCCUA
rnacentral:snRNA from 2 species